GAUGAACGCUGGCGGUAUGCUUAACACAUGCAAGUCGAACGGACUCUUCGGAGUUAGUGGCGGACGGGUGAGUAACGCGUGGGAACCUUGCUUUGGGUUCGGGACAACCACUGGAAACGGUGGCUAAUACCGGAUGUGCCGAGAGGUAAAAGAGAAAUUGCCUGGAGAUGAGCUCGCGUCUGAUUAGCUAGUUGGUGAGGUAAAGGCUCACCAAGGCAGCGCUCAGUAGCUGGUCUGAGGUGAUGACCAGCCACACCGGGUAUGGGACACGGCCCAGACUCAUACGGGGGGAAGCAGUGGGGAAUUUUCCGGCAUGGGCGAGAGAGUGACGGAGCAAUACGGCGUGAGGGAAGAAGGUUCUUGGGUUGAAAACCUCUGUACUUAGGGAAGAACAAAAUGACGGUACCUAGGGAAUCAGCAUCGGCUAACUCCGUG
rnacentral:rRNA from 1 species